UGUCCAAUGCGGGACUCGAACCCGGGUCAUAGUGGUCGAAAACCAAACGGUUUACCAGCCUUCAUAAAGCUAUUUACCUAAUUGAAU